GAUGAACGCUGGCGGUGUGCCUAAUACAUGCAAGUCGAGCGAACAGACGAGGAGCUUACUCCUCUGACGUUAGCGGCGGACGGGUGAGUAACACGUGGAUAACCUACCUAUAAGACUGGGAUAACUUCGGGAAACCGGAGCUAAUACCGGAUAACAUGUUGAACCGCAUGGUUCAACAGUGAAAGACGGUCUUGCUGUCACUUAUAGAUGGAUCCGCGUCGCAUUAGCUAGUUGGUAAGGUAACGGCUUACCAAGGCAACGAUGCGUAGCCGACCUGAGAGGGUGAUCGGCCACACUGGAACUGAGACACGGUCCAGACUCCUACGGGAGGCAGCAGUAGGGAAUCUUCCGCAAUGGGCGAAAGCCUGACGGAGCAACGCCGCGUGAGUGAAGAAGGUCUUCGGAUCGUAAAACUCUGUUAUUAGGGAAGAACAAAUGUGUAAGUAAUUAUGCACGUCUUGACGGUACCUAAUCAGAAAGCCACGGCUAACUACGUG
rnacentral:rRNA from 1 species